rnacentral:rRNA from 1 species
UAAGCGGAGGAAAAGAAACCAACAGGGAUUGCCCUAGUAACGGCGAGUGAAGCGGCAACAGCUCAAAUUUGAAAUCUGGCUCUUUUAGAGUCCGAGUUGUAAUUUGCAGAGGGCGCUUUGGCUUUGGCAGCGGUCCAAGUUCCUUGGAACAGGACGUCACAGAGGGUGAGAAUCCCGUACGUGGUCGCUGGCUAUUGCCGUGUAAAGCCCCUUCGACGAGUCGAGUUGUUUGGGAAUGCAGCUCUAAAUGGGAGGUACAUUUCUUCUAAAGCUAAAUAUUGGCCAGAGACCGAUAGCGCACAAGUAGAGUGAUCGAAAGAUGAAAAGCACUUUGGAAAGAGAGUCAAACAGCACGUGAAAUUGUUGAAAGGGAAGCGCUUGCAGCCAGACUUGCUUGCAGUUGCUCAUCCGGGCUUUUUUGCCCGGUGCACUCUUCUGUAGGCAGGCCAGCAUCAGUUUGGGCGGUAGGAUAAAGGUCUCUGUCACGUACCUCCUUUCGGGGAGGCCUUAUAGGGGAGGCGACAUACUACCAGCCUGGACUGAGGUCCGCGCAUCUGCUAGGAUGCUGGCGUAAUGGCUGUAAGCGGCCCGUCUUGAAACACGGACCAAGGAGUCUAACAUCUAUGCGAGUGUUUGGGUGUCAAGCCCGAGCGCGUAAUGAAAGUGAACGGAGGUGGGAACCCGCAAGGGUGCACCAUCGACCGAUCCUGAUGUCUUCGGAAGGAUUUGAGUAAGAGCAUGGCUGUUGGGACCCGAAAGAUGGUGAACUAUGCUUGAAUAGGGUGAAGCCAGAGGAAACUCUGGUGGAGGCUCGCAGCGGUUCUGACGUGCAAAUCGAUCGUCAAAUUUGGGCAUAGGGGCGAAAGACUAAUCGAACUAUCUAGUAGCUGGUU